UACGUAGGUGGCAAGCGUUGUCCGGAUUUACUGGGCGUAAAGAGCGCGCAGGCGGUCGUUCAAGUCGCGUGUGAAAGCCCCCGGCUCAACUGGGGAGGGUCACGCGAUACUGAUCGACUCGAAGGCAGGAGAGGGUAGUGGAAUUCCCGGUGUAGUGGUGAAAUGCGUAGAUAUCGGGAGGAACACCUGUGGCGAAGGCGAUCUUCUGGACCAUUUCUGACGCUCAGACGCGACAGCUAGGGUAGCAAACGGG
rnacentral:rRNA from 1 species